AUGCCCAAUUCACCAAGAAUUGAAAAAUGCCCAAUUCACCAAGAUUUUAAGAAACCCAAUUCACCAAGAAUUAAAAGGAAGAAUACCCAACUCACCGAGAAUUGGAAAUACCCAAUAGCUCUGAUACCACUGUUGGAAAAUUAGAGAGAAAAACUGAAAAACUAAUAACACAAACAACAACAAGAGUUAUCGAGGUUCGGCCAAGAUAGCCUACAUCCUCGUUACUCCAGUGAGAGCUUAUGGUAUUUUAUUGAGUAGCUGCUAUCACAGAAAAUAACUACAGAACUUAAACUAUGAAAUCACUUAGAUAUUCACAACCCAAAGCCCCUGUUACACCCUUUUCACUCAGUGUUUUUUUCCAAACUCACAAACAACUGACAAAGAACAUCAAUUACACACAAAAAAGAACACAAGGGAAUGAAAACAGAUUUCUUAGAGCUUUCCCGCCUUCUGCAGUUUUCUGGAAAUUUUGAGUUUUUUCUCUGCCUUUGUUUGUGAAGAAGAAAGCUAUAUAACUAUAACAAAUGUUGCCUUGAAAUGUUGUCACUCUACCUAAGAUGAGAAGCAAAAUGACUAUUUUGCCAUUCCUUAUUUCCAAAAUAAUGAAGUGCAUCGUUUUGACCUCCUGAAGCUUGAAAACAUGCAAAACAGGUUCUGCACCAGUUAUGCAACACAUCACAGCAGCAUUACAAGGUGAAUUUUAAGGAUUAAAUCAUCACAAAUUUUUAAUAAAGUUCUUGGAAGUAUGACAUAUAUCUCUACUGUGUCAGUAAAUGGAGUGUUAAGAAGCUUUUUCCAAAUUUUCUCUUUCUUUCUCUUCACUCUUUAGAUACAUUGUACAAUUUAUACAUUUUCUUCGAAGUUUGGAAACUGUAUUCAAAUACAUAUCAAAGGUAUGUUCGGAUUGCAAAUUUGACAUUGCUCUCUCUCUCUCUCUCUCUCUCUUGUAGUUUGUAGUUAGGAAAGCUAAAUAAUAUCAUUAGAAGAUUUUCUCCUUAUAUACGGGCAAUCUCACGUGACCGACUAUGAAACUGACCUCCCGCACCACCACUGCCUGCUUUUAUUGAGCAAUAUUUUAAGACAUAACACUUGCGUCCAUUCCACACCGUGGUACCUGCGGUACCCCUCCAUCUAAUUUAUUGCCAUCUGUUGAAAUAUUUAUCGUGUGUCUUUGUCAUAUUAAAUUAUGCAGCUCACCAUUUUUUUUGAAUUUUGAGAAAGAGAAACUUUAAAAAAUUUCCUUGCACAAGCGAGUUGUAAAAACAACUUUCCUUCAUCGUCAUUGAGGUCCUGGCUUCCAAAUCCUCCUCCUUCGUGUCUUCUUCCAUUGUUAGUUAGAUCUAGAGCUUGAAAGUAUCUCUUCUUCCAUAGUCAUUUCGCAGGUCAAUUCAACCCCAAACCAAAAGGUAUUUACUAAAAAAAAAAAACAAAA